AAACACGACCUAUAUUUUUGGGGUACUGGUAUAUUGUGUACGUGCCUGUUGAUUGAUUGACAACAUACUGUCCUACAUGCGACCACAAAUAGCCAGCUACUCUUGGACAGCUGUCAUUUCAAGAACGUUGCCGUUAAGAUUGCUGUGUGCUUGUUAAGCGCAACCUGUGAACGAGCGAGCUUGGUAAUUCACAAGGUAAAUUUAAAAACCUGCAAGCAACCAAGGCAACGGAGAAAUUGAUAAAAAAAACAAUUUCAAACAAUGAAAAUGAAAGGAACCAUGGUCACCAUAAUGCUGGUGGCGACACUAGUACUGGUCGCAGUGACCUCGGCUGCGCCAGCAGACGACAACAAGAUGGACGCAAGAGUGAAGCGGACACCAGCAGGUGGAGGAAUCCUGCAUCGUGUUUGCAGCGUCGCAGAUUACAUAGCAGAGCUUUUCCAAUGCUCUUGCGGGUGGGCCGUGCCGGACAGACGCAAGCGAGAAGCUUCUGGUUAUAUUUGCCCGAAAGUAUGUGACUUCAUACAUAACAAAUGCAACGUCAACCCAUGUUAACGUUGACGAUGGUGAUGCUGAUGACAACCGUGAUGAUGGUGAGAAGCUCAGACACACAACCGAUAAGUAUAUUCUCAAUGAUCCAAGCCGAGGGGACAAGAAAAGAAGGAGAGACAGUAGCCUAACAGAUCAACACUACCUAGUCUACUGUACUGAGCCGAAGAAUAAGAGAGCGUUUAUCAUGUUAACAGAUAAUCAGUACUGAUUGCGGUAGAAAGGACAACAACUAAUAUAAUCAUAAACAUACCGCAAAUGAUAUUAAUAUAUAGGCUAGUGUGAUUCUAUCCGGAAACAUUAUUAGGCUAUUUCUUACUCCUAUACCCACUCCUGUCUUGAUAUUAUCAGGAGUUAAUGAAGACCAAAUUUAUCUUUAUUAA